AAUAAGCUAUUUAAGAGCGUAAGGUGGAUGCCUUGGCUCUCAGAGGCGAUGAAGGACGUGAUAAGCUGCGAUAAGCUACGGGGAUUGGCACACACAAUUUGAUCCGUAGAUUUCCGAAUGGGGCAACCCACUAUAUUGAAGAUAUAGUAUCCGUUAAGGAAGCAAACCCAGGGAACUGAAACAUCUAAGUACCUGGAGGAGUAGAAAACAAAAGUGAUUCCGCUAGUAGUGGCGAGCGAACGCGGAACAGCCCAAACCAAAAUUGUUUCGGCAAUUUUGGGGUUGUA
rnacentral:rRNA from 1 species